ensembl:lncRNA
UGGACUGUAAGCAUUGAGUUAUUGUCUUGUAUCUAAUUGAGUGUGGGGUUGCUAGGUGGACUGUAAGCAUUGAGUUAUUGUCUUGUAUCUAAUUGAGUGUGGGGUUGCUAGGUGGACUGUAAGCAUUGAGUUAUUGUCUUGUAUGUAAUUGAGUGUGGGGUUGCUAGGUGGACUGUAAGCAUUGAGUUAUUGUCUUGUUUGUAAUUGAGUGUGGGGUUGCUAGGUGGACUGUAAGCAUUGAGUUAUUGUCUUGUAUGUAAUUGAGUGGGGGUUGCUAGGUGGACUGUAGGCAUUGAGGUAUUGUCUUGUAUGUAAUUGAGUGUGGGGUUGCUAGGUGGACUGUAAGCAUUGAGUUAUUGUCUUGUAUGUGAUUGAGUGGGGGGUUGCUAGGUGGACUGUAGGCAUUGAGGUAUUGUCUUGUAUCUAAUUGAGUGUGGGUUUGCAAGGUGGACUGUAAGCAUUGAGUUAUUGUCUUGUAUGUAAUUGAGUGUGGGGUUGCUAGGUGGACUGUAAGCAUUGAGUUAUUGUCUUGUAUGUAAUUGAGUGUGGGGUUGCUAGGUGGACUGUAAGCAUUGAGUUAUUGUCUUGUAUCUAAUUCAGUGUGGGGUUGCUAGGUGGACUGUAAGCAUUGAGUUAUUGUCUUGUAUGUAAUUGAGUGUGGGGUUGCUAGGUGGACUGUAAGCAUUGAGUUAUUGUCUUGUAUCUAAUUGAGUGUGGGGUUGCUAGGUGGACUGUAAGCAUUGAGUUAUUGUCUUGUAUGUAAUUGAGUGUGGGGUUGCUAGGUGGACUGUAAGCAUUGAGUUAUUGUCUUGUUUGUAAUUGAGUGUGGGGUUGCUAGGUGGACUGUAGGCAUUGAGUUAUUGUCUUGUAUGUAAUUGAGUGUGGGG